rnacentral:rRNA from 1 species
UACGUAGGGUGCAAGCGUUGUCCGGAAUUAUUGGGCGUAAAGAGCUCGUAGGCGGUUCGUCGCGUCGGCUGUGAAAACCCGGAGCUCAACUCCGGGCCUGCAGUCGAUACGGGCGGACUGGAGUGUUGCAGGGGAGACUGGAAUUCCUGGUGUAGCGGUGAAAUGCGCAGAUAUCAGGAGGAACACCGGUGGCGAAGGCGGGUCUCUGGGCCAACUACUGACGCUGAGGAGCGAAAGCGUGGGGAGCGAACAGGAUUAGAACCGUACCGACGAGACCAAGUCCAUCUGUACC